CCCGACUGCUAUUUGGGUGAGGAUAAGCCAUGCGAGUCGAAUGGGAUACCUAAAUUUCCCAUGGCGAACUGCUCAAUAACACAUGAUCAACUUACCCUAUAGAGAAAAAUAACCUCGGGAAACUGAGGAUAAUGUUUCAUAGUUGAARAGGCUUGGAAAAGUUUUUCGACCAAAGGGAUAAGAAAAAUGGUUUUUAUCCGCUAUAGGAUAGGAUCGUGGUCGAUUAUGGUCGUUGGUGAGGUAUGGCUCACCAAGCCGAUAAUCGAUAGGGGCCGUGAGAGCGGGAGCCCCGAGAUGGGUACUGAGACAGCGACCCAGGCCUUACGAGGCGCAGCAGGCGCGGAACCUCCGCAAUACACGAAAGUGUGACGGGGUUACCCAAAGUGUUCAAUUUUGAACUGUGGUAGGUGAGUAAUGUUCCCUACUAGAAAGGAGAGGGCAAGGCUGGUGCCAGCCGCCGCAGUAAAACCAGCUCUUCAAGUGGUCGGGAUAAUAUUGGGCUUAAAGUGUCCGUAGCCGGUUUAGUAAGUUCCUGGUAAAAUCGGGUAGCUUAACUAUCUGCAUGCUAGGAAUACUGCUAUACUAGAGGACGGGAGAGGUCUGAGGUACUACAGGGGUAGGGGUGAAGUCUUAUAAUCCUUGUAGGACCACCAGUGGCGAAGGCGUCAGACUGGAACGUGCCUGACGGUGAGGGACGAAAGCCAGGGGAGCGAACCGGAUUAGAUACCCGGGUAGUCCUGGCCGUAAACGAUGCAUACUAGGUGAUGGCAUGGCCAUGAGCCAUGUCAGUGCCGUAGGGAAACCGUUAAGUGUGCCGCCUGGGAAGUACGGUCGCAAGGCUGAAACUUAAAGGAAUUGGCGGGGGAGCACCACAAGGGGUGAAGCCUGCGGUUCA
rnacentral:rRNA from 1 species